GGAGGUAACGCGUAGAUAAUCUGCCCCAAUCCCUGGCAUAACAUCGAGAAAUCGGUGCUAAUAUCAGAUGAGGCACUUCGGUGUCAAAGGUUUCGGCUGGAUUGGGAUGAGUCUGCGUCUGAUUAGCUUGUUGGUGAGGUAAUGGCUCACCAAGGCUGCGAUCAGUAGCUGGUCUGAGAGGACGAUCAGCCACACUGGAACUGAGACACGGUCCAGACUCCUACGGGAGGCAGCAGUGAGGAAUAUUGGUCAAUGGGGGAAACCCUGAACCAGCGACGCCGCGUGUGGGACGAAGGGGCUUUGCCCUGUAAACCACUGUCGGAGGGGAAGAAAAGCCGGGUCGCCCGGCUGGGACUGUACCCUCAAAGGAAGGAUCGGCUAACUACGUGCCAGCAGCCGCGGUAAUACGUAGGAUCCAAGCGUUGUCCGGAAUUACUGGGUGUAAAGGGUGCGCAGGCGGACUUGUGCGUCAGAGGUUAAAUCCCACGGCUCAACCGUGGACAUGCCUUUGAUACGGCGAGUCUUGAGUACGAGAGAGGAUGGUAGAAUUCCUGGUGUAGCGGUGAAAUGCGUAGAUUUCAGGAGGAAUACCCGUGGCGAAGGCGGCCAUCUGGCUCGUAACUGACGCUCAGGCACGAAAGCGUGGGGAUCAAACAGGAUUAGAUACCCUGGUAGUCCACGCCCUAAACGAUGUAUGCUUGGUGUUGGGAGUUUACUCUCAGUGCCGUAGGAACCCGUUAAGCAUACCACCUGGGGGGGUACGAUCGCAAGGUUGAAACUCAAGGAAUUGACGGGGGCCCGCACAAGCGGUGGAUCAUGUGGUUUAAUUCG
rnacentral:rRNA from 1 species